rnacentral:lncRNA from 1 species
AUUUGGGCAAGGUGUUAAUAUUCUUGGCUGGCUGGAAACCUAACAAAUACCUUUGACUUCUCCCUUGGCUGUGUUUCUUGCUGGAUCUGCCAAGCAUUCUUUAGAUGUCAAGGUCUGGGAUUUAUAUGCUGGUAGGAAUGAAUGUGCUGGCUUCAUCCCCAUGGCUCACAGGGAAAUAUCAGUUUGUUUGGCUCUGUACAGCUUACAUUUUUCCUCAUGAAAAUACCCUGGAUAAAAAGUCAUAACCCCAGAAGAUGAGGUGACCACUCAGUUAACUGGAAACAAAGCUGCCUCCAGGAGACAGGGUUCCUGGAGAGGAAGGAUGCAAGGAGCAUCACCUGCUGUCAUUGAGGCAGAGAGAGCAGAUGACUGCACCUGGAUGAGGCUGCACUGAUGUCAGACACAUCCCUGCACGUGGUCCAGCUGCAUGGAGCCAAUCAAGGAAUCACAGCCCCAGCAGUUAAAGCCCAGCAUCACCAGAGCAAGGGAUUCCUGCCAGGACUCCUCCUGGCCACUGGAGAUUGCUGGGAUGCUGGCAGGGAGAGCAGGAAAGCCAUCUUGUCUUCACACUGUCAGCAUUUCCACUGCUGACUCCGGUGGCGUGGGAAGGAGACAGCAGCUGGCUGAGGCCAAGGCCAAACUUUUGAGAGAGUGUCAGAGGAGGAGGAGCAAGGAGGCUGGAGAGACCCAAUAACCAAAUAAAUGUAAGAGAAGGGAAGGGGAGCCGGGAGUG